rnacentral:lncRNA from 1 species
CCGCCAUUGGUCAUCGCCGUAGUCUUCCUCGUCCAUUCCGUCGUCGCCAAGAUCCUCUUCGUCCACCACGACGUCGUCUUCAAAUUGCGCCUCGUCACCGUCAUAUUGAUCGUCGUCAGCGUACUGGUCGUCGUUGUGGGGAAUGUGGUCCUCCGGAACCAGUGGGUCCGGCGUCGGAUGACGUGGUACCAGAGGUGGAAGAUGUUCAGACGAGUCGGAGCGGUAUCCUGGAAUCAUGUCGCGGUCGUCCGGGUCAUUGCGUUCAAUUCCGGCAACCGGCGCGGGUUGGUUCACUUGGUCGUCGUGGAGGUUCAAUUGGUUGUUCUGAGCUUGGAUCAGAAGUUCAAGCAUUUCCACGGUGAGAGCCGGAGGAUCGUGCCUCUGCCUGAGAGGGAGACCGCCGGAGGGUGACGCCGACCGGUAACGUGCCAUCCCGCCGUCACACGAGUAGCGCCUUGCGUUUCUUGGAGGGGAGUAGAAGCGAAGUCUUGUUGGCAGGAUUCUUCUUCCGGCCGCAGCACGGGGUUUCGUCGGAAACACAGGAAUGAACGGGAACUGAGGUGCGCCGUCGUCGGC